GACAGAGGAUGCAAGCGUUAUCCGGAAUGAUUGGGCGUAAAGCGUCUGUAGGUGGCUUUUCAAGUCUGCCGUCAAAUCCCAGGGCUCAACCCUGGACAGGCGGUGGAAACUGGCAAGCUGGAGUACGGUAGGGGCAGAGGGAAUUUCCGGUGGAGCGGUGAAAUGCGUAGAGAUCGGAAAGAACACCAGCGGCGAAAGCGCUCUGCUGGGCCGACACUGACACUGAGAGACGAAAGCUAGGGGAGCGAAUGGG
rnacentral:rRNA from 1 species